rnacentral:rRNA from 1 species
ACCUGCCCAUUGGAAUCUAAAAGGCCGCGGUAUUAUGACCGUGCUAAGGUAGCAUAAUCAUUAGUCUUUUAAUUGGAGGCUGGUAUGAAUGGUUGGACAAGAAAUAAGCUGUCUUAAAUAAAAAUAUUGAAUUUAACUUUUAAGUGAAAAGGCUUAAAUUUUCUAAGGGGACGAUAAGACCCUAUAAAACUUUAUAUUUUAAAAUAAUAAUUAAUUUUAUAUAGAAGAUUUAUUUUUAAAUAUUUUAUUGGGGUGAUAAAGAUAAAAUGUGAGAUAACUGUCUUUUUUUUUUUACAAUUAAUAUUUGAGUAAAAGAUCUUAACAAAGGAAAUAAGAGAUUAAGUUACUUUAGGGAUAACAGCGUAAUUUUCUUUAAGAGUUCUUAUCGACAAGAAAGUUUGCGACCUCGAUGUUGAAUUAAAAGUUCUUUAUAGAGUAGAUAUUAUAAUAGAGGGUCUGUUCAACCCUUAAAAUUUUACGUG